UAAAACACCACAAAAGAGAUUCUUCAGUUGC
rnacentral:piRNA from 1 species